AUGGAAGUUCCCAGGCUGGGGUCGAAUCGGAGCUACAGCUACUGGCCUACACCACAACCACAGCAAUGCCAGAUCUGAGCUGCAUCUGUGACCUACACCACAUCUCAUGGCAAUGGUGAACCCUCAUCCUCAUGGUUCCCAGUCGGAUUUGUUAACCACUGCACCACGGCGGGAACUCCUUUUUUUUUCUUUUGAAUUUGUUGACCCCACAUUUCUCAGAAGCUUCCGUUUACUAAAUUUUCAACAAGCUCACAAACCUACCAGAUUUGCUUCCCAAAAUUCCAAGCUCUGGUUUUCUUUGAGAACAAGGCAAACUGUCUGGAUACACACUUAAAGUUAUAAACAUAGAGGGCACAAAGUCUGAGAGCUUCCAACACUUGGCUCAUCAGAAACACUAGAGAAAGAGAAGAAGGGAGGGAAGGGGUGUGUGUGUGUGUGUGUGUGUGUGUGAAGGACGUAAAUAUUCGUGUGAUUUCUCUUUCAUGCUAGAAAGCAUCUGGGAUUUGGUACAAGGCUUGAGGCUUGAGAUUGGAGUUGUGUUCUGAAGAAACGAGGGGGACUUGAGAGGGCUGAAAGAGGUAGCACGAUGAAUCUCAAUGUGACAUGUAAACAAAGGAAAUGAGUAAUUGAAAAUAUCCUGUCUGUGUAUUCAUUUUCUGCAUACACGGACAAAGGCCAGGGUAUGAAACAAAUAGUUUCGGCCUUACUGUUACUUUGCUCUAUUAAAAAAAAAAAAAAGUAACAUAGAAGUAUUUCCAUAAAUUUCAUAAAAUUCUAUUCAAGAAGGAAAAAUACCAUACUGUUUUUGUCCACAUUGGAAAAUUCCUUUUCAAAUAGUUUGGGUAAAUUAUUGGGAGACGUGUCAGAGGAUUAAGCUUUCUUGGUUAAACCUAGAAAGUAAAACCUCAUAAAAUGAUGCCUUUGGAGCAGAUUUUGGAGUCAAACAGUUCGAGACAAAUAUUUCAGUGUCCCAUUAUAAGAAUGAUUUCUUGACUUUUAGGCUUGAGGUUUUCCUUUUCUGGGAGAACUGCCCACAUCGGCCUUCUCCUGCCCUUCCCCAGGAUGUGCAGACACAGUGAACUAAGCUCUUCCUGCUAUAAAAAAGACUGUCCAGAGCAAGACUGCCCAUCAGAAAUAGAGCGCCCACUAUGAGUAUAAUUUUCAAUGUUUUAGUAGCCACAUUUAAAAAAGUAAACACAGGAAUUCCCUGGUGGUGCAGUGGGUUGGGGAUCUGGCAUUGUCACUGCUGUGGCAUGGGUUCAGUCCCUGGCCCAGGAUCUUCCACAUGCUGUAGGUGUGGUCAAAAAAAGUAAAAGUAAAUAGAUGAAAUUAACUUUAUUUAUAUAUUUUAUUUAACUCAAUAUAUCCAAAAUACUAUUAAGUUAACAUGUUGAAAGCAGCUCUCUGGCCCCUUUCCUGUUUGGCUUCUUCUGUUCCCCUCUAACCUUUAAAGAACCUAAUUAACCUGUUGAUUCUUUUCCUAGAUAAAAAGAAGCAAGAAUAAAGAAUUAAGCAGUAUAAAAAUGACUAGCUCUCUUCCCCCAGCAUCUCCCUUAGCAAUCCUGCAGGCAGAUCAUGGAGGUAAGGUAAACUGUAGAGUCAACCGGUCUACAUGCAACAAGUAAAGUGGCAAAUUUAAUAAUGUAUCUAAAAGAUGCACAGCCAUAUAUAUGUCUAAUUCUACCUUAACUUUUUUCAACCUUUUCUGU
rnacentral:lncRNA from 1 species